rnacentral:tRNA from 1 species
UCCUUGUUAGCUCAGUUGGUAGAGCGUUCGGCUUUUAAACAACCAAUCGUUUAAACCAAGGAUACCGAAAUGUCAGGGGUUCGAGCCCCCUAUGAGGAG